rnacentral:rRNA from 1 species
AUGUCGACCCCGGGCGCCGCCUACUACGCUUCCCUCGCGCGCAAGCAGUACUUCUGCUACCAAUGCAACCGCACCGUCCUCAUCGCCGCCUCCGCCGCGGCCGCCGGCGAGCUCUCAUGCCCCGACUGCCGCGGCGACUUCCUGGAGGAGGUCACCGUCCCCGCCCCCACCAUCCUCCCCUUCCCCUUCGCCUUCCCCCCUAUGAUGCCCACCGCCUCCUCCCCGUCCCGAUCCUCCUCCUCCUCCACCGCCGCGCCCCCCUCCAGCGACCUCUCCAACUUCCUCACCAGCAUCCUCGACCUCCAGGAGGGCCGCCGCGUUAGGUCCAGGAGCGGGAGCGGUGCCGCCUCGGCCGCUGGCACGGCCACGCCUGAGAACGAGCCGGAGUCCUUCGACCCGCUCGUGUUUUUCCAGAACUACAUCCACACCCUCAUGGAGGGGGGCGCCAACAUCCAGGUGCUCCUCGACGACGCCAGCGUCAACCUCGCCCCCGGCCUAGGCGGCCGUGCCGGUGGGACAAGCUACGGGGACUACUUCGUCGGCCCGGGACUGGAGCAACUCAUCGAGCAGCUCGCCGAGAACGAUCCCAACCGCUAUGGCACGCCGCCGGCUGCCAAGUCCGCCCUGACCACUCUUCCUGACGUCGUUGUCACCGAUGCCAUGGUUGCGGCGGCAGAGGGCGCCGAGUGUGCUGUGUGCAAGGAAGAUUUCUCACCUGGAGAUGGGGCCAAGCAGAUGCCCUGCAAGCAUAUCUACCACGCAGAUUGCAUCGUACCCUGGUUGGAGCUCCACAAUUCGUGCCCCAUUUGUCGCUUUGAGCUGCCCACCGAUGAUCCUGAUUAUGAGGGCAAUAAGGCCUCAAACGCACAGUCAGCUGUUGGUAUCGCUGCUGCUGCUGCAUCUGGGAGCUCUGGUGCUGCUGAGGAAGGAGGGGAGGAGAGUGGGGAGGCUGCAAGGGUGGUGGAAAGGAGAUUCAAUGUGUCAUUGGCUUGGCCGUUUGGUGGAUUGGCAGGUCAAACACCACAGCAAGAUGGGAACAAUGCCGGUGCUGGCAGUAGCUCACAGGACAGCGGUUCGCAGGAUGGAGCUGGUGGCAGUAACAAAAAUUGA